rnacentral:tRNA from 1 species
AAAGGGAGACCUAAUUCAGGUAUAAGACGAAAAAAAAGUAGUCCCUACCAAGAAUCAAUCCCAAAAGGUCGGAACGAGGUAUGAGGCUUUCAAACUAGGUUCUGGGUUCAUAAAAGACCUGAAUCAGGAACAAGGGCUAUUAGCUCAGGUGGUUAGAGCGCACCCCUGAUAAGGGUGAGGUCCCUGGUUCGAGUCCAGGAUGGCCCACCUGCACAGGUGGCAAAAACAAGAGAAGCGAGGAAUCAGCACCUUAUCUUACUUAUAUAGUAAGAGAGAAUGCUGGCUCUGAGUAAAGAGUCCAGAGGAACCUUGAAAACUGCAUAGAGCUAGGUGAAAAAGCCAAAAAAGAAGACCGCAAG